GGUGGCAAGUUCCUCUGGGAAGGAAGCUUGAUUGUCUAUCAAGUCGCUGCGGGUUCGACUCCCGUUGCCAUCGC
rnacentral:tRNA from 3 species